rnacentral:rRNA from 1 species
GACAGAGGGUGCUAGCGUUGUUCGGAUUCAUUGGGCGUAAAGGGUGCGUAGGUGGCGCCGUAAGUCAGGUGUGAAAUUUCGGAGCUUAACUCCGAAACUGCAUUCGAUACUGCCGUGCUUGAGGACUGGAGAGGAGACUGGAAUUUACGGUGUAGCGGUGAAAUGCGUAGAUAUCGUAAGGAAGACCAGUGGCGAAGGCGGGUCUCUGGACAGUUCCUGACGCUGAGGCACGAAGGUCAGGGGAGCAAACGGG